rnacentral:rRNA from 1 species
UACGUAGGGUGCAAGCGUUGUCCGGAAUUACUGGGCGUAAAGAGUUCGUAGGCGGUUUGUCGCGUCGUUUGUGAAAACCAGCAGCUCAACUGCUGGCUUGCAGGCGAUACGGGCAGACUUGAGUGACUGCAGGGGAGACUGGAAUUCCUGGUGGUAGCGGUGAAAUGCGCAGAUAUCAGGAGGAACACCGGUGGCGAAGGCGG